CAGUCGCCGCGGUAAUACGGAGGGGGCUAGCGUUGUUCGGAAUUACUGGGCGUAAAGCGCACGUAGGCGGCUUGGUAAGUUAGAGGUGAAAGCCUGGAGCUCAACUCCAGAAUUGCCUUUAAGACUGCCGAGCUAGCAGGUGAGAGAGGUAAGUGGAAUUCCGAGUGUAGAGGUGAAAUUCGUAGAUAUUCGGAAGAACACCAGUAGCGAAGGCGGCUUACUGGCUCAUACUGGACGCUGAGGUGCGAAAGCGUGGGGAGCAAACAGGAUUAGAUACCCCGGUAGUCCCUGUCUCUUAUAC
rnacentral:rRNA from 1 species